rnacentral:rRNA from 1 species
CUGGAAUGGCUUAUGGUCUAAACAGUUUACUGCCAUGGGAUGGGACUGCGGCCUAUCAGCUUGUUGGUGAGGUAAUGGCCCACCAAGGCUAUAACAGGUACGGGCUCUGAGAGGAGAAGCCCGGAGAUGGGUACUGAGACACGGACCCAGGCCCUAUGGGGCGCAGCAGGCGAGAAACCUUAGCAAUGUGCGAAAGCACGACUGGGUCAGUCCGAGUGAUUCCUGAUAAAGGAGUCUUUUAUCUGUCCUAAAAGCACAGGUGAAUAAGGGGUGGGCAAGUCUGGUGUCAGCCGCCGCGGUAAUACCAGCACCUCGAGUGGUCAGGACGUUUAUUGGGCCUAAAGCAUCCGUAGCCGGCUUUGCAAGUCUUCGGUUAAAUCCACCUGCUCAACAGAUGGGCUGCUGGAGAUACUACAAAGCUAGGGAGUGGGAGAGGCAGACGGUAUUCAGUGGGUAGGGGUAAAAUCCUCUGAUCCAUCGAGGACCACCAGUGGCGAAGGCGGUCUGCCAGAACACGUUCGACGGUGAGGGAUGAAAGCUGGGGGAGCAAACCGGAUUAGAUACCCGGGUAGUCCCAGCUGUAAACGAUGCAAACUCGGUGAUGCAUUGGCUUAUGGCCAAUGCAGUGCCGCAGGGAAGCCGUUAAGUUUGCCGCCUGGGAAGUACGGACGCAAGUCUGAAACUUAAAGGAAUUGGCGGGGGAACAUCACAAGGGGUGAAGCCUGCGGUUCAAUUGGACUCAACGCCGGU